rnacentral:rRNA from 1 species
UAGCCAGGCAUGUGUAGUUUAAUUAUUUUACUAAUAAACUGCGAAUGGCUCAUUAAAACAGUUACAAUUUGUGCAAAUCACUUAUAUGGAUAUCUGUAGUAAUUCUAGAGCUAAUACAUGUUUUUGUCUGACUUAGUGGAAAGACUAUAUUUAUUAGAUUAAAAAUCAUUGUAGUUUUACUACACUUUUGGUGAUUCAUUUUAAAUUAUUCAAUCGAUUUAUCGAUAUUUUGCAUAAAUUUCUGACCUAUCAGCUCUUGAUGGUAGGAUAGUGGCUUACCAUGGCUAUGACGGGUAACGGAGAAUUAGGGUUUGACUCCGGAGAGGGAGCCUGAGAAAUGGCUACCACAUCUAAGGAAGGCAGCAGGCGCGCAAAUUACCCAAUCUUGAAAUAAGGAGGUAGUGACAAGAAAUAACAAUAUGAGAUAUUUUUGUCUUAUAAUUGGAAUGGAUAUUUUUUAAAAUCAUUUAUUAAAUCAAUUGGAGGGCAAGUCUGGU